rnacentral:rRNA from 1 species
GCCGGAGGGUGCAAGCGUUAUUCGGAAUCAUUGGGCGUAAAGAGCGUGUAGGCGGCUGGUUAAGUCAGGCGUGAAAGCCCAGGGCUCAACCCUGGAAGUGCGCUUGAUACUGGCUGGCUUGAGUUCGGGAGAGGGAAGCGGAAUUCCGGGUGUAGAGGUGAAAUUCGUAGAUAUCCGGAGGAACACAGGUGGCGAAGGCGGCUUCCUGGACCGAAACUGACGCUGAGACGCGAAAGCGUGGGGAGAAAACAGG